rnacentral:rRNA from 1 species
AACGAACGCUGGCGGCAGGCCUAACACAUGCAAGUCGAACGCCCCGCAAGGGGAGUGGCAGACGGGUGAGUAACGCGUGGGAACCUUCCCUGUGGUGCGGAAUAACUCGCCGAAAGGCGAGCUAAUACCGCAUAAGCCCGAAAGGGGAAAGAUUUAUCGCCAUAGGAUGGGCCCGCGUAGGAUUAGCUAGUUGGUGAGGUAAUGGCUCACCAAGGUUGCGAUCCUUAGCUGGUUUGAGAGAAUGACCAGCCACACUGGGACUGAGACACGGCCCAGACUCCUACGGGAGGCAGCAGUGGGGAAUCUUGGACAAUGGGCGCAAGCCUGAUCCAGCCAUGCCGCGUGAGUGACGAAGGCCUUCGGUUGU